CCUACGNGAGGCAGCAGUGGGGAAUAUUGGACAAUGGGGGGAACCCUGAUCCAGCCAUGCCGCGUGUGUGANUAAGGCCUUAUGGUUGUAAAGCACUUUAAGCGAUGANGAGGCUACUGAGACUAAUACUCUUGGAUAGUGGACGUUACUCGCAGAAUAAGCACCGGCUAACUCUGUGCCAGCAGCCGCGGUAAU
rnacentral:rRNA from 1 species